CAGAAGGGGAAUACAAGAGAAGGGGAAAACGAGAGAAGAAUGAGAGCUCAAAAGAGGGGGGAUCAGAGAACGGGAAGGAGAGGGGAAGGGAGAGGCGCUGCUGGUGGUGACCACAGCCACCGUUGCCACUGACCUUUAUGGGAAAAUGAGAGUGAGAGAGAGGCACGCACAGAAUGCGCGACACGAGGAAGCGAAGGAGCUCAUCUUUGUUCCUGCCGUCGCCGCACCAUGCCACCGCUACCGUGCCUUGCCGCUGCUGCCGGUGGAAGAAACCAAAAAAGGAUAGGAGGCCGCUGUUGAUGCUACCGCAGAGAGGAAGGAAGGGACGCGUGUGAGAAAGUGACGCAACAUAGGAGGAGCCGUUCUUCUGCCGCCGCCGGAAUUCCUGGUCGCCGCCAUCGUUCAUGGUGAGUUGGUUGUGUCCUAGCUACCAGAACCACCAUUUCUAAACUCUUAUUGCUCUGUAACUAUCCUAUAGCUCAGGGAGAGCUGGUAGAUAUGGGUCAAAUUUUCCUGUUGGAGAAGUAACAUGCAUAGAUGCAGAGGAUCUACCCUUGCUUCAUUCUUCUUUAAACUCCCCAUCACCCACUUUAAAGGAAAAUCAUGUUGAAGGGGAAAACAAACUUAAUUAAGGUCACAAAUUUUGAAGAGCAAAUUUAGCGAGUAAAAGUCAUGAACUUGUAGACAUGAUGACGAUAAACCUACUUGCUACUUAGCUAUUUCAACUCUCUUUUGUUAUUA